rnacentral:rRNA from 1 species
CCUACGGGAGGCAGCAGUAGGGAAUAUUGCUCAAUGGGGGAAACCCUGAAGCAGCAACGCCGCGUGGAGGAUGAAGGUUUUCGGAUUGUAAACUCCUUUUGUUAGAGAAGAUAAUGACGGUAUCUAACGAAUCAGCACCGGCUCACUCCGUGCCAGCAGCCGCGGUAAUACGGAGGGUGCAAGCGUUACUCGGAAUCACUGGGCGUAAAGAGCGCGUAGGCGGGAUAGCAAGUCAGAUGUGAAAUCCUAUGGCUUAACCAUAGAACUGCAUUUGAAACUGUGAUUCUAGAGUAUGGGAGAGGUAAGUGGAAUUCGUGGUGUAGGGGUAAAAUGCGUAGAGAUUAAGAGGAAUACUCGUGGCGAAGGCGACCUGCUAGAACGUAACUGACGUUGAGGCGCGAAAGCGUGGGGAGCAAACAGGAUUAGAUACCCUUGUAGUC